UACGUAGGGUGCAAGCGUUGUCCGGAAUUAUUGGGCGUAAAGAGCUCGUAGGCGGUUCGGUAAGUCAGGUGUGAAAUCUCCACGCUCAACGUGGAGGCGCCACCUGAAACUGCCGUGACUCGAGUCCGGUAGGGGAGUGUGGAAUUCCCGGUGUAGCGGUGAAAUGCGCAGAUAUCGGGAAGAACACCCGUGGCGAAGGCGGCUCUCUGGGACGGUACUGACGCUGAGACGCGAAAGCGUGGGGAGCGAACAGG
rnacentral:rRNA from 1 species